rnacentral:lncRNA from 1 species
UGCUAACUUAAGGAGUAGACAACCAACUCUGUUCUCUGACGUGGCCAGUAUGUUCUGUGUAUCCUCCCUCUCCAUUUUUCUUCUUACAACAUUUUUUUCAAGAUUUUGCAAUUUUUUUUCCUUUUUAAUCCUGAAAGGUAGAGAGUACAGUAAAACAGCUCCUAGAAGAAUUUACAACCAACGGCAUGAAAGUUUGAGAAGCCAAGGGGCUAGAUUUUAGGAUGAACGAAGUAGUCAACCGUGUCUGCUUCGCUCAUUCAUCUCUUUCUUCAGGUCAGUGCCUGGCACGUGGCACGCACUCGCUUGCUAUACAUUUCCCAAAUUCAUCUAAAACAAAGAACAAAUCUCAGCAAUUUCAGCUACACUAUAAUUAGCCUCAAGACUUUACUGUGAGUGCGUAGUUCUUUAUCAUAGAGAUUUAGAGUUUGGAUGUGGAAAUGACCCUCCAUUUUAUGGCAUUGUUUUGAAGGUAUGAAAUUGGAUGUAGAAAAAAAUUAUUUGCUUAAAAGCCUGCAAGAGAGGAAUUAGAACAAACAUUUCUGAAUAAAAAACAAACAAACAAACAAAAAUACCACAAAAAAACAAAACACCAAAAAACAAACAAACAAAAACCUGAGUUUGUAACUUCUCUCUGUUUGAAAAAAAGGACAAAUGGAGCUAGACUUCUGUCCUCUUCUGUGAUGAGGGUUUUGUCCAGGCUACUGAUUGAGUAAUAUGUUUAAACAUUGGGCAGCCUCCUCCUGAGGUAUUGAAUUCAUGAAAAGUACCUAUAGAUAUUUCUGUGUCUUCUGAAAGGUUCUACUGAGGAGUGGGGAGUAUUCUUCUUAAAAGUACACUAGUUGUCCUAUAGUAGAGUAUGAAUGUAGGGAGAAAUUAUUGUUGAGAUGUCAUGGAGAAGUUAAAAGGGGAAAUGAGAUGGAUUAUCUAAAUGGGAAGUGGGGAAAAGAUUGGAAAAAGAGCCUUGGAUUGAAACAAGUUUAUAGCACAUGAUAUUAGGAGUUUCACUUUAAAAUAAGGAACAUUUACUAUACUUAUAUGGAGUGAAUAUGAUUUGGCAAGCUACUUUGUUAAAGCAAAAUUCUUUUGGGAAAAGUUACAGGCCACAUCAAUAGCAUGUAUUAAAAGUCAGAUUUUGAACUUAGACACAUGAUUUAUGGCAGGACUUGUCUACACUUCUUUGAGCAAAGCCUAGUACCUUCAAGGCAUCGAUUCCCCAUUCCUUGAAUGACAAUGCAUAACUUUGUCUGUGUAUUCUUUCUGAAGUAUAACAUUAACUUAGAUCAUUACCGUUCUCAUUUAGAGUUGCUGAAGUACCAGGCUAGAGGAAAUUCAUUUGUAAACCAUGAGGAAAUAUCCAAUUUAGUAGAGCUUAUGUAUGAUGAUAUGGGAGCUUCCAGUUGGACAGGAAUGGGAACUACCCAGUGAGGGCUUCAUAGACAGAAGAGGAAAAUUCCUGGGCAUGUUGUCAAGUAACUUUGUCCUUUGGGCUUUUAUGUAGAUUGAAUCCCACACACAAUUUGGAAAUAACUGUGUUGGAGUUAUAUGGUUCAUUGUAAGCAGGACAAAGCACAUUUUCAUAUUUGCCUUUAUAAUAUUUUAGUUGAAUCACUUUAAGUGUGCUUCUCUUUGAUAGAGAGCCUGACAUUUUAUGUAACUCUUGAUUUCUGCCCUGUACUUAGCUAUUUGGUAACUUUAAAAUUUUUCAUUCUACUGUAAACUUCAGUACUGAUAAAUCACUCGCCUUACAUGUGGAGUGGAUUUAAAAUUUAUACUCUGUAACUUAGGCGAGAAGAAAUAUAACUUUAUUUCCUUGUAACUAAAUACUACUUGCCCACCAGAACCCUUUUCUGUUUGGGGGGGGGGAUACUCAUAUGCCACUUGAAUUUAUCUUACUCACUCCUGGUUAAACCUAUCAGGUCUACUCUCUAGAGCAGAUGAUCUUUCAGGAUUGUCUGUAUGAUACUAGACUUGGGUUUGGGAGGACUGUAAGGCUAGGAGUAACAUUUGGUAGCAUAAAGUAGGGGUGUUGUUUGGGGUCCAUAUUGACUGCUGGUUCUUGGGGCACUUCCUGGUCACUGCAGCAAUGGCAGGUGAGCUCAGCUGUCCUUUAUUUCUUGAUGCUAUGCAUUGAAAUGAGUGGGCUAGGAGACAAAGCCCCCAUUAUACUUCCUGGUGCUAUUUUUCCCCGAAAACAUGAUUUAUCUGCAUUUUAAAUCCCUAGCUUGGAUACUGAUCCUAAUUCUCUCUUCCAACUCGCAGUCUACCUGACCUUAAUGAUAUCAGCACUGAGAAUUGUUAGCUGCCCAGGUGGGAUGAGACACUGAAAUACAAAUCUCUUCCCUGUUCCAGAAGGAAUGCGAUAAAAGAGUAUUUCUUGUUCACUGUCCAUUGAUCCCAGAACAGAAGAUUUUCAGCUCACAGAUGGCAGGCCUAACUGUUCUUCGGUCCAUAUAAAUUUCAUAUGGCCAUUUGCCUUCCUAACUCUUUCCAUCACUUCAAAUACCAUUUCUUCUUUUGUCAGCCAGGUGAUCUGUACCACUUUCUACAGAGUGCUCUUUAUGCUUUCUGAUUCUACCAAGCACUGGUAAGUGAACACUCUAGUUUUUUAAAAAUGAUCAAAACAAAACCACCUCUAUGUUUUAUGUAUCUAAUUAUUGCUAAUCAAAAUAUUUUUAUUUCUAAAUCUGUUUUGUAGCCAGUGAUUUAAAAAAUAAGUAGCAGUAAUUUUGGAAAUAUUUGGAUGGUCCUUCCCCUCCCACUUUGGUCUGUUGUCUGUGUUAACUAUCUGCCUCAUUCCCAGUUUUUUUUUUCUUUAUGUGUAUGUUUUUUUUUGGGGGGGGAGUGUUUGAAUGUGCAAACUCGAGUGUGAGAGAGUGUGCAUGCACAUUCAUGUGGAGGCCAGAGGUCACCAUGAUAUGACUUCUUCAGUUACUCUGCAUCUUAGUUCUUGAUACCAGGUCUCUCAGUGUACCUGGAGCUCAGUUGCUGGUCAGAGAACUCUAUGAAACUGCAUGUCUUCACCUCCUCUAUGCUGUGACACCUGCUAUUUGCCAUUGUGCCUGACUAAUAUUUGUAUGAUGGGGAUCCAAACUCAAUUCUUCAUCUGCUCACCCUCCCUCCCCCAUCAUUCAUGAAAAUAUGUUAAGGGCAAGACACCAUAUUCCUACUGAGUAAGAAUGUGACUUAUGUAAUAUAAAAAAAUACUACCACCUAAAGUAAUAAAUAAGGUCUGACUGAGGUUAAUUUGGAAGAACCCUUGAUGGAAUGUAUUUCCUGGUGAGCUGAGAUUUUAUAUAACUGAAACUUAUUCCUUAGAAGACUAAAACUACAUAUCUUGCACAUACAGUAAAUAUGUGUAUUUCUCUACAAAUGAGGUACUUGGAUGUAGCAAG